rnacentral:rRNA from 12 species
UACCUGGUGGAUCCUGCCAGUUGUCAUAUGCUCGUCUCAAAGCCUAAGCCAUGCAUGUCUCAGUACAUACUUUACCAAAGUGAAACCGCGAAUGGCUCAUUACAUCAGUUAUGGUUCCUUAGAUCGUACGCAUCCUACUUGGAUACCUGUGGCAAUUCCAGAGCUAAUACAUGCUACAGGUGUCUCCGGCCGGGCAACCGGACGGGGUGCCGUUACCAUUCAAAAGACCAAACGGUCCGCUUCUGCGGCCGACUCAUUUGGUGACUCUAAGUAACCUCUAGGCAGAUCGCACGGCAAGCACCGGCGAGCGCAUCUAUCAAAUGUCUGCCUCAUCACACUGUGGAUGGUGGGUUAUUGGCCCACCCUGGUGAUUACGGGUAACGGGGAAUCAGGGUUCGAUUCCGGAGAGGGAGCCUGAGAAACGGCUACCACAUCUAUGGAAGGCAGCAGGCACGCAAAUUACCCACUCCCGGCACGGGGAGGUAGUGACGAAAAAUAACGAUGCGGGACUCAUCCGAGGCCCCGUAAUCGGAAUGGAUCCACCCUAAACAGUUGGGUGAACCUAUCGGAGUGCAAGUCUGGUGCCAGCAGACGCCGGUAAGUCCAGCUCCGAUAGGCGUAUACUAAAGUUGCUGCGGUUAAAAAGCUCGUAGUUGGAUCUGGGUCUCGGGCGGUCGGUUCGCCGUCAGCGUGUCAACUGGCCGUACCGGACGUCUUCUCGGUUUCCCCGGUCUGCUCUUCACCGAGUGGACCGGGGGAUUCCGGGACGUUUACUUUGAACAAAUUAAAGUGCUCAAAGCAGGCUAUUCGCCUGGAUGCUGGUUGCAUGGAAUAAUGGAACAGGACCUCGGUUCUCUCUGUUGGUUUUCGAACCAGAGGUAAUGAUUAAAAGGGAUUGACGGGGGCUUGAGUAUUGCGAGGGGAGAGGUGAAAUUCUAGGAUCCUCGCAAGACUACCUACAGCGAAAGCAUUUGCCAAGAAUGUCUUCAUUAAUCAAGAACGAAAGUUAGAGGUUCGAAGGCGAUUAGAUACCGCCCUAGUUCUAACCAUAAACGAUGCCAUCCAGCGAUGCGCAAGGUUCAAGAACACCGUGCGCGCAGCCCCGGAAACCUGAGAUUUCGGGUUCCGGGGGGAGUAUGGUUGCAAAGCUGAAACUUAAAGGAAUUGACGGAAGGGCACCACAAGGCGUGGGACGUGCGGCUCAACUUGACUCAACACGGCAAACUUACCAGGCCCGGACACCGCAAGGAUUGACAGAUUGAGAGCUCUCUCGUGAUUCGUUGGAUGGUGGUGCAUGGCCGAUUUUAGUUGGUGGAGCGAUUUGUCUGCUUGAUUGCGAUAACGAACGAGACUCCUCCUAUUAACUAGGCGUCGGGGUAUGUGUUCCCCCGGCGCAUCAAACCUCUUCUUAGAGGGACCGGUUGUCGCAAGCAGCAAGAGUGGGAGCUAAAUCAGGUCAGUGAUGCCCUUCGAUGCCCUGGGCCGCACGCGCGUCACACUGAAGGAGACAACGCGUCUUCCCCUGCCGAGAGGUACGGGUAACCGCUGAACCUCCUUCGUGAUAGGGACCGGGGAUUGCAAUUAUUCCCCGCGAACGAGGAAUGCCCAGUAAGCGCGAGUCAUCAGCUCGCGUUGAUCGAGUCCCUGCCCUUUGUGCACACCGCCCGUCGAUGCAUCCGAUCGAGUGAUACGGUGAGGCCUUUGGACCGGCGCCUGCGGGGGUUCCACCUUCCGCAGGAACCGUCGGGAAGACGGCCGAACCUGGUCACUUAGAGGAAGCAAAAGUCGUAACAAGGUUUGGGUAGGUGAACCUGCAGAAGGAUCAUUA